rnacentral:rRNA from 1 species
AUUGAACGCUGGCGGCAGGCCUAACACAUGCAAGUCGAGCGGAUGAAGGGAGCUUGCUCCUGGAUUCAGCGGCGGACGGGUGAGUAAUGCCUAGGAAUCUGCCUGGUAGUGGGGGAUAACGUCCGGAAACGGGCGCUAAUACCGCAUACGUCCUGAGGGAGAAAGUGGGGGAUCUUCGGACCUCACGCUAUCAGAUGAGCCUAGGUCGGAUUAGCUAGUUGGUGGGGUAAAGGCCUACCAAGGCGACGAUCCGUAACUGGUCUGAGAGGAUGAUCAGUCACACUGGAACUGAGACACGGUCCAGACUCCUACGGGAGGCAGCGGUGGGGAAUAUUGGACAAUGGGCGAAAGCCUGAUCCAGCCCUGCCGCGUGUGUGAAGAAGGUCUUCGGAUUUUAAAGCACUUUAAGUUGGGAGGAAGGGCAGUAAGUUAAUACCUUGCUGUUUUGACGUUACCAACAGAAUAAGCACCGGCUAACUUCGUG